rnacentral:lncRNA from 1 species
CUAGGGUUUGGUUCAAUCAUCCGUGCUCAUUUGGGAGUGAUCUUGAGCCCCGUUUUUAAUGUUCUUUACAUUUUUUAAGUCCCGGUAACUCGAUCUAUCUAUUUCUACAAUUAUUUUGAGCUAGGGUUCAUGUUUAAAAAUUUACCCAUGAAUGAUAUGCAUGUGUUUUGAUGUCUAAUGGUAGAAAAUGAAUGUUGGGUGUUAAAUAAACGACUUUUUCUAAGUGAUUUUCGGUGAAAAUGCUUAAAAGGAUCCUUUUGUAAAAGUUAUAAAAUUUGUCAUAAAAGUGUGAUUUAGUGGAAAUUAGGGGCUUUUAUAGUUAUGAAAAUGAUUUUUAUAGGCCUA